UCCGGCUUGUCGCCGGCGGUCCCUUUAGAGUGCCCAACUGAAUGAUGGCAACUAAAGGCGAGGGUUGCGCUCGUUGCGGGACUUAACCCAACAUCUCACGACACGAGCUGACGACAGCCAUGCAGCACCUGAACCAGAGGUCCCCGAAGGGAAAACCUUAUUUCUAAGGCGAUCCUCUGUUGUCUAGCCCGGGUAAGGUUCUUCGCGUUGCGUCGAAUUGAACCACAUGCUCCACCGCUUGUGCGGGCCCCCGUCAACUCCUUUGAGUUUUAGCCUUGCGGCCGUACUCCCCAGGCGGGGUGCUUAAUGCGUUAGCUGCGGCACGGAGGACGUCGAUAGCCUCCCACACCUAGCACCCAUCGUUUACGGCUGGGACUAC
rnacentral:misc_RNA from 1 species